rnacentral:lncRNA from 1 species
GAUGAUGGGAGCCAGGAGGACUCAGAUGACAACAUGGGAUGAUUGAGGGCAUCUACUGAUGGAUGUCCAUGAUGUAGACAGGGUUUUAUUUACUUUUUUGUUCUUUCACUUUUGUACUUUGUUUUUUUUUUCUCUUAGAAUAGGUUGCAUUUUUAUUUUCAGUGUUUAUGCUUGGCUUGAAAACUUUUCUAAGAAUGUUUGACUGAAUGGC